UUGAAGAGUUUGAACCUGGCUCAGAUUGAACGCUGGCGGCAGGCCUAACACAUGCAAGUCGAGCGGAUGAAGGGAGCUUGCUCCUGGAUUCACCGGCGGACGGGUGAGUAAUGCCUAGGAAUCUGCCUGGUAGUGGGGGAUAACGUCCGGAAACGGGCGCUAUUCCCGCAUACGUCCUGAGGGAGAAAGUGGGGGAUCUUCGGACCUCCCGCUAUCAGAUGAGCCUUGGUUCGGAUUAGCUAGUUGGUGGGGUAAAGGCCUACCCAGGCGACGAUCCCGUAACUGGUCUGAGAGGAUGAUCAGUCACACUGGAACUGAGACACGGUCCAGACUCCUACGGGAGGCAGCAGUGGGGAAUAUUGGACAAUGGGCGAAAGCCUGAUCCAACCAUGCCGCGUGUGUGAAAGGUUUUCGGAUUGUAGUCCUUUAAGUUGGGAGGAAGGGCAGUAAGUUAAUACCUUGCUGUUUUGACGUUACCAACAGAAUAAGCACCGGCUAACUUCGUGCCAGCAGCCGCGGUAAUACGAAGGGUGCAAGCGUUAAUCGGAAUUACUGGGCGUAAAGCGCGCGUAGGUGGUUCAGCAAGUUGGAUGUGAAAUCCCCGGGCUCAACCUGGGAACUGCAUCCAAAACUACUGAGCUAGAGUACGGUAGAGGGUGGUGGAAUUUCCUGUGUAGCGGUGAAAUUGCGUUAGAUUAUAGGAAAGGAAACACCCAGUUGGCGAAAGGCGGACCCACCUGGACUUGAUUACUGAACACUUGAAGGUUGCGAAAAGCGUUGGGGAAGCAAACAGGAUUUAGAAUACCCCUGGUGAGUCCACGCCCGUAAAACGAUUGUUCGACUUAGCCCGUAUGGGAUUCCUUGAGAUUCUUAAGUGGCGCAAGCUAACGCGAUAAAGUCGACCGCCUGGGGAAGUACGGCCGCAAAGGUUAAAAACUCAAAAUGAAUUGACGGGGGCCCGCAUCAAGCGGUUGGAAGCAUGUGGUUUAAUUCGAAGCAACGCGAAAGACCCACCUUACCUGGCCUUGACAUGCUGAGAACUUUCCAGAGAUGGAUUGGUGCCUUCGGGAACUCAGACACAGGUGCUGCAUGGCUGUGUCAGCUCCUUCUUUGACAUGUUGGGUUAAGUCCCGAACGAGCGCACCCUUGCCUGUUACCAGCACCUCGGGUGGGCACUCUAAGGAGACUGCCGGUGACAAACCGGAGGAAGGUGGGGAUGACAGUCAAGUCAUCAUGGCCCUUACAGGCCAGGGCUACACACGUGCUACAAUGGUCGGUACAACAGGGUUGAACCAAGCACGCGAGGUGGAGCUAAUCCCAUAAAACCGA
rnacentral:rRNA from 1 species